rnacentral:rRNA from 1 species
AUUGAACGCUGGCGGCAGGCUUAACACAUGCAAGUCGAGCGGGGUGAUGGUGCUUGCACUAUCACUUAGCGGCGGACGGGUGAGUAAUGCUUAGGAAUCUGCCUAUUAGUGGGGGACAACAUAUCGAAAGGGAUGCUAAUACCGCAUACGUCCUACGGGAGAAAGCAGGGGAUCACUUGUGACCUUGCGCUAAUAGAUGAGCCUAAGUCGGAUUAGCUAGUUGGUGGGGUAAAGGCCUACCAAGGCGACGAUCUGUAGCGGGUCUGAGAGGAUGAUCCGCCACACUGGGACUGAGACACGGCCCAGACUCCUACGGGAGGCAGCAGUGGGGAAUAUUGGACAAUGGGGGGAACCCUGAUCCAGCCAUGCCGCGUGUGUGAAGAAGGCCUUAUGGUUGUAAAGCACUUUAAGCGAGGAGGAGGCACGUUUGGUUAAUACCCAAGAUGAGUGGACGUUACUCGCAGAAUAAGCACCGGCUAACUCUGUGCCAGCCGCCGCCGUAA